rnacentral:lncRNA from 1 species
GAAGUUCACAGAGAAGCGCUUCAACGUUGCAUUAUAUUGCUUGUGUGCUUCUUGGCGAAUAACGAGAGUCAACUGCUCUCCUUGCUGUUUGUACCAGAACAAGAACCACCCUCGUCAUCUUUUAUUUAUGCUGAUUGACAAAACCUGGAUCUGUCCACCACAUAUCUAUUUAUACAGAUGCUAAGAUCUGAGGUUUCUGUCAGACCCUCUCUGUUGGCUGUGUCACUGUGGCUCCCCCGAGUGCACAGAAAUACGUAGCAGCAUCCCCCAGCUGUGAGUCUGAGAUCUCAAGGCUGAAGGACUUAGCGGCUUUCUGGAAGUUCACAGAGAAGCGGUUCAACGUUGCAUUAUGUUGCUUGUAUGCUUCUUGGCGAAUAACGAGAGUCAACUGUUCUCCUUGCUGUUUGUACCAGAACAAGAAUAUUAGAGAUGCUGAGCCAGGCAGAUCAAUGGGAGUUUGAGGACAGCCUGGUGAACAAAGCUAGUU